rnacentral:rRNA from 1 species
GAUGUCUUUAUCUUCCUAUCAUUGUGAAGCAAAAUUAACCAAGCGUUGGAUUGGUUAUUCAAAUAAGGGAGCAUGAGCUGGGAUAGAUCGUCGUGGGAUUAGAUU